rnacentral:rRNA from 1 species
AGAGUUUGAUUAUGGCUCAGAUUGAACGCUGGCGGCAUGCCUUACACAUGCAAGUCGAACGGCAGCACGGGAGCAAUCCUGGUGGCGAGUGGCGAACGGGUGAGUAAUAUAUCGGAACGUGCCCAGUUGUGGGGGAUAGCCCGGCGAAAGCCGGAUUAAUACCGCAUACGACCUGAGGGUGAAAGCGGGGGAUCGCAAGACCUCGCGCAGUUGGAGCGGCCGAUAUCAGAUUAGCUAGUUGGUGAGGUAAAGGCUCACCAAGGCGACGAUCUGUAGCUGGUCUGAGAGGACGACCAGCCACACUGGGACUGAGACACGGCCCAGACUCCUACGGGAGGCAGCAGUGGGGAAUUUUGGACAAUGGGCGCAAGCCUGAUCCAGCCAUGCCGCGUGUGGGAAGAAGGCCUUCGGGCUGUAAACCACUUUUGUCAGGGAAGAAACGGUUUGAACUAAUACUUUGAACUAAUGACGGUACCUGAAGAAUAAGCACCGGCUAACUACGUGCCAGCAGCCGCGGUAAUACGUAGGGUGCAAGCGUUAAUCGGAAUUACUGGGCGUAAAGCGUGCGCAGGCGGUUAUUCAAGACAGAUGUGAAAUCCCCGGGCUCAACCU